UACGUAGGUGGCGAACGUUAUCCGGAAUUACUGGGCGUAAAGGGUCUGUAGGCGGUCUGAAAGGUCUGGCGUGACAGUUCUCGGCUUAACUGAGAGAGUGCGUUGGAAACCGGUAGACUAGAAUCACGUCGAGGUCGGUGGAAUUCCCGGUGUAGCGGUGAAAUGCGCAGAUAUCGGGAGGAACACCGGUGGCGAAGGCGGUUCUCUGGGCCUUACCUGACGCUGAGGAGCGAAAGCGUGGGGAGCGAACAGG
rnacentral:rRNA from 1 species